CAGCCGCCGCGGGAAUACGAAGGGUGCAAGCGUUACUCGGAAUUACUGGGCGUAAAGCGUGCGCAGGCGGUUUGUUAAGACAGAUGUGAAAUCCCCGGGCUCAACCUGGGAACUGCAUUUGUGACUGGCAGGCUAGAGUAUGGCAGAGGGGGGUGGAAUUCCGCGUGUAGCAGUGAAAUGCGUAGAUAUGCGGAGGAACACCGAUGGCGAAGGCAGCCCCCUGGGCCAAUACUGACGCUCAUGCACGAAAGCGUGGGGAGCAAACAGGAUUAGAUACCCCUGUAGUCCCUGUCUCUUAUAC
rnacentral:rRNA from 1 species